UACGUAGGGUGCAAGCGUUACUCGGAAUUACUGGGCGUAAAGCGUGCGCAGGCGGUGAUGUAAGACAGGUGUGAAAUCCCCGGGCUCAACCUGGGAACUGCAUUUGUGACUGCAUCGCUGGAGUGCGGCAGAGGGGGAUGGAAUUCCGCGUGUAGCAGUGAAAUGCGUAGAUAUGCGGAGGAACACCGAUGGCGAAGGCAAUCCCCUGGGCCUGCACUGACGCUCAUGCACGAAAGCGUGGGGAGCAAACAGG
rnacentral:rRNA from 1 species